GUACAAGUUUUUGCUGCUGUAGCAAACGAUACGUUCCGAUACAUGCGUUCGUUAUGGAUAUAUGACGCGAGCCCCCCGAGGGGGACCCACGCAGAGGUGCACAGGGGGGUGAGAAGAUGAAGGACAGAGACAAAGGCGUGCACGUUGCCCCGGGGGGGGGGGCCAGCGACAACCUCGCUCGAGCUUUCAUUAAUGAUCCUUCCGCAGGUUCACCUACGGAAA
rnacentral:misc_RNA from 1 species